ensembl:snRNA U6 U6 spliceosomal RNA
GUGCUCACUUCGACAGCACAUAUACUAAAAUUAGAAUGAUACAGAUUAGAAUAAGAUAGCCUCUGCCCAAGGAUGACACACAAAUUCAUGAAGUGUUCCAUAAUUUU